CUUGGGGCAAUGACGCAGCUAGUGAGGUUCUAACCGAGGCGCGUCUAUUGCUGGUUGAAAACUAUUUCCAAACCCCCUCUUCGGCCUGGGCUUGACCCUGGCCGUCGAGAAUUUCUGGAAAGGGCGCCCUUUUGGGUCAGCCCUCCAAUUCUAGUCUAAAAUUAUUCCAGUUUCUUGUGCUAUAAUAAGAAACCCGUUUGGUGCUAAAAAAAUGUAGUGCUCCAGAAAAAUUAAUUUGUACACUAUUGGAUGAUGAAAUUUAAGGUUUUUAUUUUUCAAAAAUAUGUUGCAUAUUUUAGACCAUAGAAUAGAGUUUAGGAAGUCUAAAAUUUCAACUGAAUGGUUUCUUACAAUAUUUUCAGAGAAUGUUCGCAAGAUUUCUAAGAUUUCAUAUUAAAGCAUUCAAUCAUGUUAAGAGUGUGAUUGUUAACAUAAUGUAACAAGAUUUCUAAGAUUUCAUAUUAAAGCAUUCAAUAAUUGUUAGAGUGAUGGUUAACACGUAACGUUUAAUUGUUGAACUGUUCAAUACACAGUCAUUUUUUAUCGAAUUACGCAACGUCACUCUUCUAUCAAACGCAUUCACUGUUUUUGUGAACCAAAUUGUCCGUAAAAAUCAAACUUCAACUGUGCAAUCGGAUAAUCUUCUCUAGUACUUGCUUUAGGUCCAUUUUAAGAAUGUAAAAUAUAUUGAGCCAUUUAGAUGGUCAAAAAUAUGAGUUACAUGUAGAUCCAGGCAGUCUUUAAUGCGUUUUUUCAUUAAAUUGUUUGCAUGCGAUGGGCG
rnacentral:snRNA from 1 species